CCCCUAUAUAUAUAUUUGACUACAUGACCGAUUAAACAAUCUGAACUCAUUUAUUGACAUCACAAAUGCUUCAAGUGCUUCAGCCUCCAUGCAAGAGGGUGAAUCGUUUUCUACUCUCACCAAGGUUGUAGGUACCACAAAGAGAAGCAUCCAAAGUUAGUUGAAAGAUGGCUCAAAAAGCGAUGGAUCGUAUGCUUCUACACCAGCUAUCAAGCCGGGUAUUUAACCAUCUUCAAUUCUUCUAUAGAUUAGAAACUUCCUUUGCUUAUUUCACAUGGUGGAUUUACAAAUGACGUUUUAUGGUAUCUUGUUUCAUGAACAACUUUUAUAUAUAUAUAUAUAUAUGUAUAUAUAUAUAUAUAUAUACAUAUACAUAUAUAUAUAUAUAUGUAUGUAUAUAUAUAUAUGUAUCUAUAUACAUAUAUAUGUAUGUAUAUAUAUGUACGUAUAUAUAUGUGUGUAUAUAUAUAUGUAUAUAUAUGGGUGAAUUAUAGGGAGAAAUCCCAUUUGAGUUGCAAAAACUCUGAAAACCUAAUGGAUUGACAUAAUGUUGCCACGUGUUACACUUUUUCCCUACAACAUUUUUAUUGACGUCUGCAACAUUUUCUGACACUGACACACUUUUCGUAACAGUGGAGAGUGGAGAGAGAAUAUGUUACAUUUUUCAAUUGUUCACAUUUUUUGUAACUCAUCUGUAACAUAUUUUUAUUAUGUUUUUAAAUAAUAUAAAGUGUAUAAAUUUUAGAAAUUAUAAUUUACGAAAUUAUUAUUUUGUAAUGUGCGUAAAAAUAUUUUACAUUUUCUACAGCGAAAUUUCUAUGUAACAAUGAUGUUGUCACAUUUUUUUGUGUCAAAUGUGAGAGGAGAGAGAAAAAUGUAACACUUUAGACUUUUUGUUAGACUUUAACAUUUUUCUGAAAAGGUAACAUUUUUGUACCUUCUUAAUAUCCACCAUUGAUUAAAGGUGGAGUUGAAGUUUUUUGGGUUUCUUUAACUAAGGUGGGUUUUCGAUUAAUCAUUUCCCUGUACGUAUGUAUGUAUAUAUAAACGUAAGGGUUUGUCUACAAAGGACAUUUUUCAUAAAAGUGUGAGAAGUCUAUAUAAACAUUGUGUUUUAAAUUUUAAGCAUGAUAUUUUAGAUUCUUUUAAUAUGCCAUUACAUAGAAAAAUACCAAAUUUAACAAUUUAAAACAGAAUUUAAUGUAUUCUAGGCAUGAAUUUUAAAACACCAUAGAAAGUUAAGCAUUGUGUAUUAAUUUUCAUGCCUAAAAUACCUUUGACUAUGUUUUAAAUUGUUAUGUUUGGUGUUUUUGUGUAUAAUACUAGGCAAAAAAAAAAACACUAAAGCAUCAAGCCCAACAUUUAAAAACAAUGCCUAAGUAAACUUCUAACGCUUUUAAGAAAAAAAAUUGUUCUUUGUAGACGUGUGCAUGCUCAUGCUUUUGCAUAUGAAAUUCAAUGAAUAGACUAAGUGAGUGUGAUCCUUACAAAUUACUCAUUGUGUUUAUCAAUUAUAAUGUUGUGUGUACUAUUUGUAACACGAAAGUUUACUCUUUUUUCUCGGUAACCAAGUCUGUGAAGCAACAACUUGUGACAACAUUAAGCAUAUCAAUGAAUUUAUAAACAGUGUCAUAAUGUUUGGAUUUUUGGAUGUCCAUUAACUUAAUUUAUGAUUCUCUUUGGGUUUGAUUAGGAUAAUAAAAUUGGUUUCACCGGUGUCACAAUGUUUCCAUUUUCGUGUUGCUUGAUUGUCAAAUGCAUAUGUAACACUACAAAAUUAUAAUAUUUUAUGAAUGGCACAUAAUACGCUCCUACAUGCCUAAGUUUGCAUCUACUUCUAGUAUCGAUAGUUGACUUACAUAAUCUUAAUGUUUUUCUUACACAGACUACUAUGAUAUAAAUUCUAUUCUUGAUCAAAACUUAAAACAAAAACAUCCAAUAAUUAAAGUAGAAUUAACCGAAAAUCUUUAACACCAUGGAAAUUUUAGACGAAUUGGUGUAACUCUAGUAUCAAACACGUAUAUGAAACAUAAUAAUUGAUAUGUGAUAAUAGGCAACAUAGGACAACAUAUACCUAUGUAGCAAAGGUUCUAUAUAUACGAUAUGACACGAAACAUUAAACCUCUAUUGAUACAUAAAUGAAGAUCAUAGUAUCACACUUUUAACUCACGGAUAUGUUGUUACUUGACCUAGUGGAAACUUUCUAAGAUGUCCCCCAUCGUAUAUUACUCUCACUCACGCAUGUCUGCAGAAUUGUGAAAUUGUCUCAUAAUCCAUAGUCAAUGUACCCAGAACACAUUGACCUAUAGUGGUUGACACGACAUAAGGGGAGAACGGGAGAUGAUUGAAUUUUCACUUUGUCAAAAGUCAUUAUUUAUUUUGUCAUUGAUAACUCUCACCCCACACCCCCAAAUCUAAUCUACUUUUAAUUCUACUCCAUAAUUCAAAGCUGGACUAAACAUGCGACCUUUAUGAAAGGGAACACCAUUUACAAACCAAGAUAUCAUUGAAAUAAAUGCGCUUAUGUAUGUUUUAUUAGUUUAGGUCCCUGAAAAACCAAUUCUAGAUUUGAAUGGUUCAAAAGAUCUUCAAAAUAUAUUCCAACAAAUAAAGUCUUGAAAUGGUAUAAAUCAUCUUUUAAAAGUACGGUUUUGUAUGAGAAAACAUCGGGGAGUGUGCUUUUUAGUUGGGAGCCUUGCUCACUUCACUUUCAAGCUAGAAAUGAGGUUACAAGGUCUGUUGAGCUUGAUUUCAAAACAAGUCAUAAAGGUAUAGUAUCGAUUGAAAAGAUUUCGUUUUUCGCCAUGGUGAUGCAUGGGAAAUUCAUAAACGUCCAUUUCGGGACAUAAGGAAUCGUAAAGUCGAUAUCUUGAUCUUUUUUUAUGUUUGAUCCAAAGUUACCAUCAACUCAAUCGAGUUAGGGUUCCAUAGAAGAAAAUAGGUAUGUCCGCGCGUCAAUUUGCGUGCACGCAUUAGACUUAGUGCACAAUGAUUGGUGUGGUACUUUGCGCUUGGAUAAUUUUAAGUUUGUUAGUAGUAGUUUACACUCAGCCCUAAGCGAAACUAUAAUUCGCGCAACACUUGACUUUGUGUGUGGGAAUAGUCCGCGUGUAGACUUAGUUUACACAUAAACCUAGUUUGCACAAGUUGGGGUUUGCACACUUACAUUAGAGCUCAAUGUUGGUAUUGAACUUGUAUGUUGACCCUCUUUGACUUAGGACUCUUGACUUAGGACUCCGAGUGUCGAGAUCUUUCUGAUUACAACAGAUUAUGACAUAUUAUCAAAGUUAAGUUUCUAGGUCCUCUUUAUAAUAUUUUUUGGGGUGAUGUGCAUACUUGACCUAGUUUUCAUUGUAAAGUUUAUGUUUUAAAGUAUGGCAUAGUUUGAUGAAGCUUUUAAAGUAAUGAUAUAGUUUUCAAAGUAAAGUCUACAUUUUAGAAUAUGACAUAGUUUGAUGAAGCUUUCAAAGUAAGGUGUAUGUGUUAAAGUAUGAAAUAGUUUGAUGAAGUUUGCUAAAGUUAAAAUAUAGUAAAGUGACAAAGUGUUAUAGUAUAAAAUGCCCAUAGUUUUCAUGAUGCAUAUUUUAAAGUCUAAAGGAGACUUUCGCGUCUAAAAUCAAUAUCGGUGUCUAAGUUUAACACCGUGGUCACAAAUAACGUCUAAAUUUAACGAUGUGAUCUUGAAAGGCGUCUAAAGUUAACGCUAAGUUAACACCAUGACCAAAAGAUAAUUAAAGGGGGGUUGCAUUUGUGGCUUGCUAGUGGUUGUAUAACUACGUAUAGUUUAGUAUGCAUGUUACAGUUUUAUAGUAAAAUCUAUGUUUGUUGCAUGGUGUAAAGUUAUAGGUCGUAAUGAUGUGCUUUAUAUGUGUUUCGUGUUAACUGCUUCCUAAAGUUUGUCGUUGCCUUAUUAAACUAGAACUCACUCCGCGUAGUGGACUUUUAAUAUUUUUUUUUGGGAUAUGGAGUGCUCGGGAAGGUGAUGAAGGUUUUAGAUAGAAGACUGGCAUCCCAUCUAUCUUUUUUAGUUAUUGUUUGCUAAAGACUUGUUAUGUUUAAUUAUGUUUUAACAAUUAUAACGACCUAAAGUUUUCGAUGUAGUUGAAUGGAAUUUAUGGCUAUGAAUUGUUUGUCAAAGUGUAAAUUCAACAGAUGACCCCCCCCCCCCCCCCCGGGUUUGGGGCGUUUCGAAGUAACACCAACAUAAGGGAAUAAAACGGAUACUACAUGACAUCUAUUGGGGUGUGUGUGUGCGCGCACAUGUUGAUUUUUUCCAUCUUAAGACACAUGUUGAUGAUAAAUAAGAGGUUAUUCACGUAUGUCCAUGAAUUUUAGCUUACAUUGAUGGAAUAAAGCAUGAUACAUGAGCAAAAAUUGAUACACCACAACGGUAUUGUGCAUCUUAUGGUCAUAGGUGUAAUUAGGGGUGUAAAGUGUAAACGAGCCAAGUCUCUUAUAAGUUACUUGAAAUCAGUUCACUAAAAUAAUUGAAUAGAGCUAAGCUAACACAGAUAUGACCCUAAAACUAAGCGUGUUUAGUAAAUAAACCCGAACCCAAACCCAAAAUUUACUUUUUUUUUAACGGCAAAUUUGAAUCACUUACAGACCACUGGAGUAUCAUCAUGACAUCAGCGGAACCACCAGAUCAUAUUUAUCUCCACUAGGCAAUAAUGCUUAUACACCAAUUCAAGAGGAAACCCAAUAAAUCUAAGAAAAAACCUCUUAUGAAAAUCGAACUCAGGACCUAAUAGCCCCUAAAACUUAUCCCAUCCUAAAAUACUACUAGACUAUAAGGAUAUAAUGCCAUGGCAACCCAAAUUUUACUUAUCAGGUCAAAUAGCUUAAACAACAAAACACCACUUAAACCACCUUGCUGGCCACCUUUAUAUAAUUAUGACCCAUCACCCUCCACAUGACAGUUUUGGCAAGUGGCAGCGACAAACCUUCGCGUCUUGCAAAUUCUAGAAAAUGUUUCUUUUAAAAAAGUGUGCACAAGGUUAUGGUCAAUAUUUCACAUUAAUGUCAUUAGAAGUUUCAAUAUGCCAAGCACAUGUGGUUUUGGAUCAGUGAGACAGAUACAUCACAUCACACACUUAUUUAUGGGAUUGUACAUUACCAUGUGUCUUCACAGUAUAAAAUUGAAAUUUUAUGUUAGACUCAAAAAGUAAUUUAUCCUAUACGAUAUUAAAACAUCUAUUGUUUGUUUUUUCUUUCUAAAAAGUGACAUUUUAUGUCACAUGAUUAAGUAGAUGAAUAGUUAUCCUGCACAAAUCCAAUUUUUUCAUUGUGAGUUACAUACCCAUAUAACACUAAAUCACGUAGUAAUGUAUUUUUUUAAGUACGGAAAGGGCCUUGUUAUCAAUAUUUUUAUUUGUGUUUGAGUCAUAACCCUUUAUGUCUUUAUAUACAGUUGCUAGUAUUUCAGGUAACAUACUCAAAGAUAAAGGGAAGAGUAAAGAGCCUUUGGGUGGAUCGAAUAUAUUGUAAAAGCUAAUGUUUUGUAUGUUAGAAAUAGCCUAUUAUGUGGCCAUCAUGAUUAUUUAGCUAAACUUUAUCAAAAUGACGUAACUAUAAGUCUCUAACGUUUACUUGAUGCUCUAACGUUUACUUGAUG